CACAAAUCUGUCUUGAAAAGUUUCAUAGAAGAAAAUACUCUCUCGGCACAAGCUGUUGCAACCGGCAGAAUCAGUGUCAACUCAAUCAAACUGUACACCAAAGAGAAAGCUUUAUCUCGUAGAAACCAAAAUCUUUGCUAAUUUUCCCAGCCCCGAUACAUCACCCAUUGACCAUCAAUUCUUACCCAAAUCGACGAAAGGCGCGGCUGCGGAACUCCGGCAGCGGCGGCAAGCGUAGCGGGGCGGCGGACAAUUGGAAACUUUGGAGUACAAGGCUCGGUGGCUCGCUCUGGGGCGGAUAUCGGUCGGAGCACGGCGGUACAAGGGGGGAUCAAGGCCUGGUGCCGGUUAAGCCCCCGCUGACGCGGGGGCUUGGCAUUGUGUGGUUCCGUCACUUUGUGUGUGUGUUCGUGUCAUAUGAAAAAAAUUUGUGAUCCCGUUAACGAUA